GAAUCCUAGUGGCGAACGGGUGAGUAACGCGUAGGCAACCCUGCCCUCCGGCCGGGGACAACACUCCGAAAGGGGUGCUAAUACCGGAUACGAAGUCUGUGCCGCAUGGUACGGAUUUGAAAGAUGGCCUCUAUUUAUAAGCUAUCGCCGGGGAUGGGCCUGCGUCCGAUUAGCUGGUUGGUGGGUAACGGCCUACCAAGGCGACGAUCGGUAGCCGGUCUGAGAGGAUGAACGGCCACAUUGGGACUGAGACACGGCCCAGACUCCUACGGGAGGCAGCAGUGGGGAAUCUUCCGCAAUGGGCGCAAGCCUGACGGAGCAACGCCGCCGUGAGUGAGGAAGUUCUUCGGAACGUAAAGCUCUGUUGUUCCUGACGAACCUCCCCUUUAUCAACAACGGAGGGACUGACGGUAGGAACGAGGAAGCCACGGCUAACUACGUGCCAGCAGCAGC
rnacentral:rRNA from 1 species